GAUGAUUGCUGACAUUAGUUAGAGGAAAGUCCAUGCUCGCAUAGUCUGUGAUGGCUAUAGUGUUUGCGCUAGCGGAAUAAAUAACGCUAGGCACGUAGGAGUACGUGAUGGCGGAACGAUACCUAAAGAGAAAUCCAUGGUCUAGUUCCUGAAAGUGCCACAGUGACGUAGCUUAUUUGAAAAAGUAAGGUGGAACGCGGUAAACCCCACAAGCGAGAAACCCAAAUUUGGUAGGGGAGGCUUGAUAGAGAAACGAAUCGAUUCAAGCAGGCUCAGCCUAGAUAAAUUAUCAUCCUAGACAAAACAUGGCUUAUCG
rnacentral:RNase_P_RNA from 1 species